rnacentral:rRNA from 1 species
UACGUAGGGGGCGAGCGUUGUCCGGAGUUACUGGGCGUAAAGGGCAUGCAGGCGGUCGGACGCGUUUCGGGUGACAGCGGGUGGCUUAACUACCCGAGUGGUCGAAAGACGGUUUGACUUGAGGACGCGAGAGGGACACGGAAUUCCGGGUGGAGUGGUGAAAUGCGCAGAUAUCAGGAGGAACACCGGUGGCGAAGGCGGGUCUCUGGGCCGUAACUGACGCUGAGGAGCGAAAGCGUGGGGAGCGAACAGG